rnacentral:rRNA from 1 species
UACGAAGGGGGCUAGCGUUGUUCGGAUUUACUGGGCGUAAAGCGCACGUAGGCGGAUUGUUAAGUCAGGGGUGAAAUCCCGGAGCUCAACUCCGGAACUGCCUUUGAUACUGGCAAUCUUGAGACUGGAAGAGGUUAGUGGAAUUCCCAGUGUAGAGGUGAAAUUCGUAGAUAUUGGGAAGAACACCAGUGGCGAAGGCGGCUAACUGGUCUGUAACUGACGCUGAGGCGCGAAAGCGUGGGGAGCAAACAGG